rnacentral:rRNA from 1 species
UGUAAGCGUAUACCAAAGUUGUUGCAGUUAAAACGCUCGUAGUCGGAAUUUGGCAGUUCCGGAUGUGUGCACGUCGUGUGCGCACUUCGCGGGGAUUGCUUUUGUGGUCUUGCGUAGGAUGAGGCACUUUUAUUAGUGAACGUCCUCACGCAGCCACUUUUUACUGUGAGAAAAUCAGAGUGCUCAAAGCAGGCAUUUGCCGUGAAUGUAUUAGCAUGGAAUAAUAGAAUAGGACUUGGUUCUAUUUUGUUGGUUUGUUGGGACUGAGUAAUGAUUAAGAGGGACAGUUGGGGGCAUUUGUAUUUCGGUGCUAGAGGUGAAAUUCUUAGAUUACCGAAAGACAAACUGCUGCGAAAGCGUCUGCCAAGGAUGUCUUCAUUGA